rnacentral:tRNA from 1 species
UCCGGGAUGCUCUGCUGGCAAGGGCGACGGGACUUUGGAUCCCGGUACAGACGCAGGUUCGAUUCCUGCUCCCGGAGC